rnacentral:lncRNA from 1 species
GAAACAGCAUAAUUAGUCUUACCAAGAGAGUCCAGGAAUCACUCUAGCUUCUGAAGCAUUAGCCUCUUUUACAACCAAGAAAACAAAACCUAUCUGCUGGAAGGAAGAGCCUCAGAAACACACUCUUAUUACCCUCACUUCCUCCCCAACUCUGUGAAAUGAAUCCAUUCGAUGUUGGAAAGAAUAUCAACUUAUUUCCCAGUUGUUCUACUGUUGGUUCUGGGUGACAUUCCACUCCAGGCACAAGAGAAAGGUGUUGAAAUUAUCCUCACACCAGAAGACACCAUAUAUGGGAAACUCCACUUGCCUGCGUAUUCAUUAGCAGGAUUAUAAUUGCUCCACUGCUAAAAUGAGCUAACAACCCAUUUACAGCUUUAAGCCAAUGGGAAAUUCUCUGCCUGCCUACUGCCUCUCCUUCCUUGGGAUAUGCUGCUGCUUUUCAGGAUGAGCAACCCAACUAAUAAACAAUAGCAUGAAACAGAAAGCAAGAGCAAAACUCUUGGGGAAAAAAAGGAAAUGAGAGCAUUAAAACUGACUCAAUGAUAUGGGAAUGAAGACACAAUCCAAGAUCUCUACAAAGACAAGAAAAUUGUUGUUGUUGACCAUCAUCGAUAAAACUGUUUUUAUUUUACUAUGGUACGCUUUAUAAAGUAUGAUGAUCAUGUAAUUCCCAUUUUGCAGAUUUUCACUUGUCC